AAAGAUAUCCAUCAUCUCUAAAAAUGGCGACAACACUGCGUUUACGACUAUGGAGUUCCAACCUAAAUUUCCUUCUUGAAAAACCAAAAUCCGCCAUUUCACCCUUUACAACAAACUUAUGCAAGCCAUUUUCUUCUCAUUCUCUCUCCUCUACUACCCACCUUCCGAAGAGCGUGGGAACGCACAACGGCAGCUUUCACUGCGACGAAGCUCUUGGCUGCUUUCUCCUUCGUCGCACCACCAAAUUCGCUGAUUCUCAGAUCAUUCGAACUCGAGACCUUCAGGUGUUGGAUUCGUUGGAUGCGGUGCUAGAUGUUGGAGGAGUGUAUGAUCCGACCCGUGAUCGCUUUGAUCAUCAUCAGAAGGGUUUUGAUGAAGUUUUUGGUCAUGGGUUUGGGACUAAACUUAGUAGUGCUGGACUUGUCUACAAGCAUUAUGGAAAAGAAAUAAUUGCAAAGGAGCUUCAGCUUGAUCAAAGACACCCAGAUGUGCAUCGCUUGUUUCUAGCUAUCUACAAGAAUUUUGUCGAGGCAGUUGAUGCUGUAGACAAUGGGAUUAAUCAAUACAAUACAGAUAUAUCACCUAAAUACACUAUUAACACAUACUUAUCAUCUAGAGUGGGAAGAUUGAAUCUUGGCUGGACAGAUCGUGAUCAGUCAGCUGAGCGAGAAAAUGAUGCCUUUUUGAAGGCGAUGACAUUGGCUGGGAAUGAGUUUUUGGAGAGCAUACAUUUUCAUGCACAAUCAUGGUUACCGGCUAGAUCCAUUGUAGAGGAGUGUCUUGCAGCAAGGCAAGAUAUUGACUCUAGUGGUGAAAUCAUGGUGCUCAAGAAGUCUUGUCCUUGGAAGCUUCACAUCUUUGAGCUUGAGGAGGAAAUGAAGGUUGAGCCUUCUACCAAAUACGUUCUUUAUGAGGAUGAUAGAUGUACUUCAUGGCGGGUGCAGGCAGUGUGUCACGGUCCGAGUGAUUCAACACCAGAUCGUGCGGCGCGCUCUCGUCUUUUGGCGACAAGGGCGCAAGCCUAAAGCAAGGAGGUUCGUGAGCACACAGCAACACGGACCUACGGUGUCUCAAGAGGGCGCACGAGAACAACGAGUGCGGAGUCGGGGCUUGUGACGGCCGAUACUUCGAAGCGGGCACAAGCGGAACCGAAGAAAAUGAGGACGUCUCUAGGGUCUCUUGGUUUGGUGGGGGAUGCUUUAAAACAAGGCAAACACAAUAUCUAUAAAGGCUUAAACAACACACAAGUCUUAAAGCAAUAAAAACGGGGUAGAGAGCUUUGAUUGAAUAACCAUUCGCUCCCUAAAGAGCUUUAUAUUGCAUUAGUAGAGAAUUACAAGUGAACGUUGAAAUGACAGUAACACAGUAAUUCUCCCUAGGGUCUAGAAAAAUAAAAAGAAAGACUAAAGAGACAUUACAUAAGGAAAAUAUAAGGAAAAUAAAGAAGAAUACAUAACAAAGAGGUUGGAUUCUAACACAGUGGCUUUAGGACCCGAUAGAUUUGAAAGCCGAAAGCCCUUGCCUCAUCCUUGGAGGGGUUUGGAGGGCAAAGAACUCUCGGAGAUAGCAGGGAUCCCUGGCUGUGUAUUUGUGCACAUGAGUGGAUUUAUCGGUGGGAAUCAAACUUAUGAGGGUGCUAUUGAGAUGGCAAGAGCUUCCUUGAAAGCAUAAAGCAGGUUUAAACCACUAUACAAUUUUAUACAUAUAUCUUACAUUAAAUUUCCGGGAUUUGGGAGAUAAAGGCAUCUUAGAGCUUAAGGAUGUCCAGGGGUAUGCAGUCAGUACCUGUAUGCACAAUCUGUUCAUCUUUAGUUUCCCGUGGAUCCAAUCAGUUAACGGAAUUCAUUUUCUGAUUAAUGAAUGCAAGACAAAUGUAAGGCAAACUCAUUCCCAGCCUUCAAAGAUUAUCAGCUUCUGGAUUCUGAAAUGCUUGUUGGUCAAAGUAUUCACUGUUCAGAGGAGGUAUCAUUCUCUUUAAACAAAAUUUUGUCUGAUCUUAGGAAUUGAAUUAUGUUUGUAAUUCUAUUGAUUCAAUCAUCUUUAUGAGAAUAAGUCCUUAUUUUCCUUUUGUUUUUUCAGUUUCUUAUCAUAUAAAAUCCUUUUAGGCCAUUG